rnacentral:rRNA from 1 species
UACGUAGGGAGCAAGCGUUGUUCGGAAUUACUGGGCGUAAAGCGCGCGUAGGCGGUGAUCUUUGUCAGGGGUGAAAUCCCGGGGCUCAACUCCGGAAUUGCCUUUGAAACGGGAUCGCUAGAGUCCGAGAGAGGAUGGCGGAAUUCCUAGUGUAGAGGUGAAAUUCGUAGAUACUAGGAAGAACACCGGUGGCGAAGGCGGCCAUCUGGCUCGGUACUGACGCUCAGGCGCGAAAGCGUGGGGAGCAAACAGG